UGUAGUCUGGUGUUUUAGCAUUUUAUGUUUUGGUCAUAAAGGAAAUUUGUUUUUGAUUACAU
rnacentral:tRNA from 1 species